CCAUCACACAACACACCUCAAUUAAGUAUUACCUAGUUAAAUGUAUUUAAUAUGUUUUUUUCCAUAUUUGGAUAUAUCUUUCUCAUAGUUAGAAUGCGAAAUAAAUAAAUAUUAUUAAAGAAAUAGUAAUAAUGUGUGGAACAACGAUAAUGUAAAUCAUAUUACUUACGAAUACGGUAAUAAAAACUGUCAUAAAAAAUUACAGUGAGCAAAUGACUCAGAAUCAUGUCACCCUUAUCCAAAUAUCCGUAAAUUUUAAUUUCCUUCUGUUAUGUGGAACAGUCAUGGAUAUCAAGGAUGCUAUAUAAAUCUGCGCACGCGCAGGUUCGGUCACAUCGACGGCAAAAUGAAGUGGCUUGUGUUGUUGUGUGCUGUGAUGGCACUUUUGAUCUCUGCUAUGGCCCAGGACUACUACGACUAUACGAUCAAGUAUGCGGAAUUAGCAUCGCCAGUCCCCUCAAACAUCGACGUCGAUGAUCUGGUAGCGACACUCAGGGCAGCCAGCGACCAUAACUAAAUGAAUUUCGCCGUUCUCCCACUAUACAUUAUUGGAUCAAAAAUGAAUGAAAGCUUUGUAGGUUAAAUUGUUUAUUUAUUAAAGUGUGCAACGAGCUUUUGUCCGA